AGGUUAAGUUAACAAGGGCGCAUGGUGAAUGCCUUGGCACUAGGAGCCGAUGAAGGACGGGACUAACACCGAUAUGCUUCGGGGAGCUGUACGUAAGCUAUGAUCCGGAGAUUUCCGAAUGGGGCAACCCAGCAGUUUUAAUCAACUGUUACCACUAGAUGAAUUCAUAGUCUAGUUGGAGGUAAACGCUGUGAACUGAAACAUCUCAUUAGCAGCAGGAAUAUAAAGAAAUUUCGAUUCCCUAAGUAGCGGCGAGCGAACGGGGAACAGCCCAAACCAAAGUGCUUGCACUUUGGGGUUGUAGGACUGAACAUUUGAGUUACCAAAGAACUUGAUAGUCGAAGGAUUUGGAAAAAUCCGCCAUAGAUGGUGAUAGCCCAGUAGAUUAAAUCAAAUUCUCUCAGUUCAGGAUCCUGAGUACGGCGGAACACGUGAAAUUCCGUCGGAAUCCGGGAGGACCAUCUCCCAAGGCUAAAUACUACCUAGUGACCGAUAGUGAACCAGUACCGUGAGGGAAAGGUGAAAAGCACCCCGGGAGGGGAGUGAAAUAGUUCCUGAAACCAUGUGCCUACAAUAAGUCAGAGCGCGUUAAUGCGUGAUGGCGUGCCUUUUGUAGAAUGAACCGGCGAGUUAUGAUCCCGUGCAAGGUUAAGACUAAAAAGUCGGAGCCGUAGCGAAAGCGAGUCUGAAAUGGGCGUUUUGAGUACGAGGUUAUAGACCCGAAACCAGGUGACCUAUCCAUGUCCAGGUUGAAGGUGCGGUAAAACGCACUGGAGGACCGAACCCGUGUAAGUUGAAAAUUGCUGGGAUGAGGUGUGGAUAGCGGUGAAAUUCCAAACGAACUUGGAGAUAGCUGGUUCUCUCCGAAAUAGCUUUAGGGCUAGCCUCGGAAUUAGGAUCAUGGAGGUAGAGCACUAUUUGGACUAGGGGCCCGUCUUGGGUUACUGAAUUCAGAUAAACUCCGAAUGCCAUUGAUUCAUAUCCGGGAGUCAGACGAUGAGUGAUAAGAUCCACCGUCGAAAGGGGAACAGCCCAGACCAUCAGUUAAGGUCCCUAAAUGUAUGCUAAGUGGAAAAGGAUGUGGAGUUGCAUAGACAACUAGGAUGUUGGCUCAGAAGCAGCCACCAUUUAAAGAGUGCGUAAUAGCUCACUAGUCGAGUGAUCCUGCGCCGAAAAUGUACCGGGGCUAAGCAUACUACCGAAACCAUGGAUGCGACCAUUAGGUCGCGUGAUAGGAGAGCGUUCUAAGGGCGGUGAAGCAAGAUCGUGAGGACUUGUGGAGCGCUUAGAAGUGAGAAUGCCGGUAUGAGUAGCGAAAGAUAGGUGAGAAUCCUAUCCACCGAAUGACUAAGGUUUCCUGGGGAAGGCUCGUCCUCCCAGGGUUAGUCGGGACCUAAGUCGAGGCCGAGAGGCGUAGACGAUGGAUAACAGGUUGAGAUUCCUGUACUAGUUAAGUGCGUUUGAGCAAUGGAGGGACGCAGGAGGCUAAGAUGUGCAUUCUGUUGGAUUAGAAUGUCCAAGCAGUAAGUCUUGUGAAGAGUCAAAUGCUUUUCACUUUAAGGACAAGCUGUGAUGGGGAGCGAAAUUUAGUAGCGAAGCGUCUGAUGUCACACUGCCGAGAAAAGCUUCUAGUGAGUACUUAACUACCCGUACCGCAAACCGACACAGGUAGUCGAGGAGAGAAUCCUAAGGUGAGCGAGUGAACUCUCGUUAAGGAACUCGGCAAAAUGACCCCGUAACUUCGGGAGAAGGGGUGCUGAUCGCAAGAUCAGCCGCAGUGAAUAGGCCCAGGCGACUGUUUAUCAAAAACACAGGUCUCUGCAAAAUCGUAAGAUGACGUAUAGGGGCUGACGCCUGCCCGGUGCUGGAAGGUUAAAAGGAUGGGUUAGCUUCGGCGAAGCUCAGAAUUGAAGCCCCAGUAAACGGCGGCCGUAACUAUAACGGUCCUAAGGUAGCGAAAUUCCUUGUCGGGUAAGUUCCGACCCGCACGAAAGGCGUAACGAUCUGGGCACUGUCUCAACGAGAGACUCGGUGAAAUUAUAUUGUCCGUGAAGAUGCGGACUACCCGCGACAGGACGGAAAGACCCCAUGGAGCUUUACUGUAGCUUGAUAUUGAGUGUUUGUACAGCUUGUACAGGAUAGGUAGGAGCCAUAGAAACCGGAACGCUAGUUUCGGUGGAGGCGUUGGUGGGAUACUACCCUCGCUGUAUGACCACUCUAACCCGCACCACUAAUCGUGGUGGGAGACAGUGUCAGGUGGGCAGUUUGACUGGGGCGGUCGCCUCCUAAAAAGUAACGGAGGCGCCCAAAGGUUCCCUCAGAAUGGUUGGAAAUCAUUCGCAGAGUGUAAAGGCACAAGGGAGCUUGACUGCGAGACAGACAGGUCGAGCAGGGACGAAAGUCGGGCUUAGUGAUCCGGUGGUACCGUAUGGAAGGGCCAUCGCUCAACGGAUAAAAGCUACCCUGGGGAUAACAGGCUUAUCUCCCCAAGAGUCCACAUCGACGGGGAGGUUUGGCACCUCGAUGUCGGCUCAUCGCAUCCUGGGGCUGUAGUCGGUCCCAAGGGUUGGGCUGUUCGCCCAUUAAAGCGGUACGCGAGCUGGGUUCAGAACGUCGUGAGACAGUUCGGUCCCUAUCCGUCGCGGGCGUAGGAAAUUUGAGAGGACCUGUCCUUAGUACGAGAGGACCGGGAUGGACAUACCUCUGGUGUACCAGUUGUGCCGCCAGGCGCAUCGCUGGGUAGCUACGUAUGGAUGUGAUAAACGCUGAAAGCAUCUAAGUGUGAAACACACCUCGAGAUGAGAUUUCCCAUUCCUUUAUGGAAGUAAGACCCCUGAAAGAUGAUCAGGUAGAUAGGUUAGAAGUGGCAGUGCGGUGACGCAUGAAGCGGACUAAUACUAAUCGGUCGAGGACUUAACCAAG
rnacentral:rRNA from 1 species